rnacentral:rRNA from 1 species
CCUACGGGGGGCAGCAGUGGGGGAUAUUGCACAAUGGGGGAAACCCUGAUGCAGCGACGCCGCGUGGGUGAAGAAGCGCCUCGGCGCGUAAGGCCCUUUCAGCAGGGAAGAAAAUGACGGUACCUGAAGAAGAAGCCCCGGCUAACUACGUGCCAGCAGCCGCGGUAAUACGUAGGGGGCAAGCGUUAUCCGGAUUUACUGGGUGUAAAGGGGGCGCAGACGGCGAUGCAAGCCAGGAGUGAAAGCCCGGGGCCCAACCCCGGGACUGCUCUUGGAACUGCGUGGCUAGAGUGCAGGAGGGGCAG